rnacentral:tRNA from 1 species
GAGAAAGAUUGCAAGAACUGCUAACUCAUGCUACCAUACAUAAAAGUAUGGCUUUCUUA